UACGUAGGGUGCGAGCGUUAAUCGGAAUUACUGGGCGUAAAGCGUGCGCAGGCGGUUUGUUAAGACAGGUGUGAAAUCCCCGGGCUUAACCUGGGAAUGGCGCUUGUUACUGGCAGGCUAGAGUGUGUCAGAGGGAGGUAGAAUUCCACGUGUAGCAGUGAAAUGCGUAGAGAUGUGGAGGAAUACCGAUGGCGAAGGCAGCCUCCUGGGGAUAACACUGACGCUCAUGCACGAAAGCGUGGGGAGC
rnacentral:rRNA from 1 species